rnacentral:rRNA from 1 species
CCUACGGGAGUCAGCAGUCGAGAAUCAUUCACAAUGGAGGAAACUCUGAUGGUGCGACGCCGCGUGGAGGAAUGAAGGUCUUCGGAUUGUAAACCGCUGUCAUGUGGGAGCAAAUUAAAAAGAUAGUACCACAAGAUGAAGAGACGGUAACUCUGUGCCAGCGGCCGUGGUAAUACAGAGGUCUCAGGCGUUGUUCGGAUUCACUGGGCGUAAAGCGUGCGUAGGCUGUUUCGUAAGUCGUGUGUGAAAGGCGCGGGCUCAACCAGCGUAUGGCACAUGAUACUGCGAGACUAGAGUAAUGGAGGGGGAACCGGAAUUCUCGGUGUAGCAGUGAAAUGCGUAGAUAUCGAGAGGAACACUCGUGGCGAAGGCGGGUUCCUGGACAUUAACUGACGCUGAGGCACGAAGGCCAGGGGAGCGAAAGGGAUUAGAUACCCCUGUAGUC